UACGUAGGAGGCAAGCGUUGUCCGGAAUUACUGGGCGUAAAGCGCGUGUAGGCGGCCAGGUAGGUCUGCUGUGAAAACUCGAGGCUCAACCUCGAGACGUCGGCGGAAACCAUUUGGCUAGAGUCCGGAAGAGGAGAGUGGAAUUCCUGGUGUAGCGGUGAAAUGCGCAGAUAUCAGGAAGAAUAUCCGUGGCGAAGGCGGCUCUCUGGGACGGUACUGACGCUGAGACGCGAAAGCGUGGGGAGCGAACAGG
rnacentral:rRNA from 1 species